GUAGGUAGCAAGCGUUGUCCGGAAUUAUUGGGCGUAAAGCGCGCGCAGGCGGUCCUUUAAGUCUGAUGUGAAAGCCCACGGCUCAACCGUGGAGGGUCAUUGGAAACUGGGGGACUUGAGUACAGAAGAGGAAAGCGGAAUUCCAAGUGUAGCGGUGAAAUGCGUAGAGAUUUGGAGGAACACCAGUGGCGAAGGCGGCUUUCUGGUCUGUAACUGACGCUGAGGCGCGAAAGCGUGGGGAGCAAACAGGAUUAGAUACCCUGGUAGUCCACGCCGUAAACGAUGAGUGCUAAGUGUUAGGGGGUUUCCCGCCCCCCUUAGUGCUGCAGCUAACGCAUUAAGCACUCCGCCUGGGGAGUACGGCCGCAAGGCUGA
rnacentral:rRNA from 1 species